UUUCGAAUGCUUGUCAGUGACGUCAUCAAGAUUGGCCACGCCCCCUCGUUACGUCACGCUCGAUCUCGGCCAAUCAGCUCCUCUGUUAUUGUAAGGGACUGUAGAGGGCCAAUUUUAGGCAAGAGAGAGAGAGAGAGAGAGAGAGAGAGAGAGAGAGAGAGAGAGAGAGAGAGAGAGAGAGAGUUAAUGGAGGUUACUUUGUCUGAUUAUAAUCAUGAAGUUGUCUGAUGCAUGACUGACUGACUGACUGACUGACUGACUGACGAUUGACGGACUUACUGGUUGACUGACUGACUGACUGACUGACGAUUGACGGACUUACUGGUUGACUGACUGACUGACUGACUGACUGACUGACGAUGACUGAUUUACUGGCUGACUGGCUGGCUGAAGAUUGACUGACUGACUGACUGACUGACUGACUGAUUGGCUGAAUGAUGGCUGACUGACUAAAUGACUGACUGAAUGUCGUUUUUUGAGACUGUAUUUCUUAAGUGACUGACUGACUGACUGACGGACUAAAUAACUAACUGAAUGCCUUUUUUGACUCUAGUUUUUGUAGUGACUGACUGACUGACUAACUGACUGACGUACUAACCAACCAAAUGACAUAGUGACUGACUGUCUAACUGACUGAUUAAGUAACUGAGUGACUGACAAAAUGGCUUACUGAAUACCUUUUUUUUUUACUAAUUUCUAUGGUUACUGACUAACUGACUGACAUCCAACUGACUGACUGACUACAUGGCUAACUGAAUGCCUUUUUAACUCAUUUCUAUACUGACUGACUGACCGACUAACUGACGAAAUGGCUAACUAGAUGCCAUUUUGUGACUGUCAGUUAUGUAUAGUGACUGGCACCCACGUUGGACCCAGUCGGUGAAGGCACUCAGAUCUGUAGGGAGGGGGGGGCGGAGGGGGGCGAGGGGGGCAAGGGGGGUCGCACUUGUAGAUGAAGGGUGGAUGGACUGUAUUAAUAGUAGCUAGCACUCAGCACCGCCGUCCAAGAGGUGCUGACGACUGCGGUUCACGAUCUCCCCUUCGCUAUAGUCUGUUGUGCGGGGAAAUAACAGACCACGCCCACUAUUUUUCCUCUCUCGGUUUUGAUUGGCCAAGCGGCAGCCAAUCACAGCGCUGGAUAUCGUUGGUUGGAUUUAGCUUUUGCCCAGGAAGCGAUCUCUCCGUGGAAUGUAAAAGUCAAUCAGUCUAUCCAUCAAUCAAUCAGCCAGUCAGUCAGUCAGUCAAUCAGUUAGUCACUCACUCAAUAAAUAAAUAAAUAAGCUAAAAAUUAAAUAAUACACUAAAAAGCACCAGGAAAUAUCAACCUAACGCAAUUUCUAGUUCCUAAAGUGUCAAUGAUUGCGAAAAAACAUAAAUAACAGCCAUAAUUACACUUAACUGGAAUAUACGUAAAUAAGAGUAAGUAGAUCUCUUCUUUUUCGUAUAUUUGUUUUCAUUCAUCACACGACAUCGAUGAAUGGAAUGAAUGUGUGUACUAUAGUCUGUUUCAUUCCAUCUGUCCACCAACAAAGUGGGAAUUUUGAUGGAUGUGGCACCUGCGCAUUUCUAGUUCGUGAAUACGUGAAAAUCAACUGUUGGAAUAGACAUUCAAGCUUAUUUUUCAGUAAUACAUUUGAAUGUUUAUAUAUACAAAAAACAACUCAUGGAUAAUCUAACAUACAAGCACAGGAACCUGAAUGAGAUGAAAUAUGGGUAUCUGAAAGGCUGUAGGUCGUUCAAGUAUGAUCAGACUAUACUGUUUGAUAUACAAGUUGUUCCUUCGUGUGCUUGUAUGGUAGAUUAUCGAUGCAAAUCUCCUGCUUGCGGUUCAUAUGAGAUGACUUGAGUUUUUUUUUUUUUUUUUGUAUACAAACAUUCAAAUAUAUCACUGAAAAUAUUAAAUUGAUCUUCACGCAAUCACGAACUAACAAUGCGCAGGUGCCACAUCUACGUUCGCGAGUGGACAGACGGAAUGAAACGGACUAUAGCAGUGAGGUAUGUGAAAAGAAGAAGUGUUGUGUUGAUAAGUAAUGUCCGUUAUGUGAUUUAUGUGAUGAAAGGAGAUGCUGUGUUAGAAUUAGUACGUGACAAUGAAGAUACUGGUGAAGAGAACUAUUGUAUUAGUAACAGUAGGAUUUGUUUGAAAUGAAGGAAUCUUGUCCCCCAGCAGUGAGGUAUGUGAAGAGGAGAGCUGUCGUGUUGAUAAGUAAUGUCUGUUCUGUGAUGAGAGGGAAUGCUGUGUUAGAGUUAGUAUGUGACAUUGAAGAUAUUGAUGAAGAGGACUGUUGUGUUAGUAAUAGUGGGAGUUACGUGGAAUGAAUGAAUGUUGUGCCCCAGCAGUGAGGUAUGUGAAGAGGAGAGCUGUCGUGUUGAUAAGUAAUGUCUGUUCUGUGAUGAGAGGGAAUGCUGUGUUAGAGUUAGUAUGUGACAUUGAAGGUACUGGUGAAGAGAACUGUUGUGUUAGUAAUAGUGGGAGUUACGUGAAAUGAAUGAAUGUUGUGCCCCAGCAGUGAGGUAUGUGAAGAGGAGAGCUGUCGUGUUGAUAAGUAAUGUUUGUUCUGUGAUGAGAGGGAAUGCUGUGUUAGAAUUAGUACGAGACAUUGAAGAUAUUGGUGAAGGGAACUGUUGUGUUAGUAAUAGUGGGAGUUAUGUGAAAUGAAUGGAUAUUGUGUACUAGCAGUGUGAAGAGGCGAGAAGUUGUGUUGGUAUUAGCAGUGACUUGUGUGAAGAGACGGAAUGCUGUGGUAGUAUUAGUGAGUGGCACUGAAGGGAUUUAUGAGCAGAAGAACUGUUGUGUUGGUAUUAGAGGUCACUUGUGUAAAGAGAAGGAAUGCUGUGUUAGUAUUAGUGACACUGAAGGGAUUGAUGAGGAACUGUUGUUUUAGUAUGAGUAAUGUCUAAAGUUAUGUGAAUAGAAGGAAUGCGUUAGUAAUAGCAGUGAGUUAAGUGAAGAAAAGGAAUGUUAUGUUAGUGUUCGUAGUGGUUUAAACUUUAUGAAGGAAAGGAAUGUUGUGUUAUAGUGAAACCAAAUUAGUAUUCGUUUAAACUUUAUGAAGGAAAGGAAUGUUAUGUUAUAGUGAAACCAAAUUAGUAUUCGUUUAAACUUUAUGAAGGAAAGGAAUGUUGUGUUAUAGUGAAACCAAAUUGUCGAGUCCGUUUUGGCGUUGGCACCCACAGAUCCAUUUCUCCCCUCUGCUCUGCCACACAGUCCCAACACCUAUUUUUUCCUCUCAUAUGUUACCUAUAGCUUACAUAUGAGAGGAAGAGAUAGGUGUUGGGACUGUGUGGCAGAGCAGAGGGGAGGAAAGGACCCAUGGGAGCCUACGCCAGACCGCCCUCGACAUAUUUGGAAGACUUAUAGUAUUAGCAACCGUUCAAAUUAUAUAUAUGAAGAGAAUGAAUGUUGUGUUUGUAUUAGUAUGUGCCACUGAAAAGAUCAACGAGGAGAAAAUUAAUCUGCCUUGUUAGUAUUCGUAAGUGUUACUGAAGAGAAUUACAGGUAAAUAAUGAGAGAUAGCCCUGAAAAAUUUGUUGGAUCGAGACCACUGCAUGGAUGCCGAAUAUAUAAUCAUACCCCAUUACAACCACCACCACCACCAUCAUCAUCAUCAUCACCAUUGUUAUCAUUAUCGUCAUCAUUACUCUUAUUAUGACAGUCAUUAACGCUUCUCUUUUUCUCCUCUGCGUGUGUGUCUA